rnacentral:rRNA from 1 species
AUACGGAGGAUGCGAGCGUUAUCCGGAUUUAUUGGGUUUAAAGGGAGCGUAGGCGGGAGCUUAAGUCAGCGGUUAAAUGGUGCGGCUCAACCGUGCCCUGCCGUUGAAACUGGGUUUCUUGAGAGUGCAAGAGGCGGAUGGAAUUCAUGGUGUAGCGGGGAAAUGCUUAGAUAGCAUGAAGAACUCCGAUUGCGAAGGCAGUCCGCUGGGGCACGUCUGACGCUGAUGCUCGAAGGUGCGGGAAUCAAACAGGAUUAGAUACCCUGGUAGUCCGCACGGUAAACGAUGAGUACCCGCUGUCGGCGGCAGACAGUCGGCGGCCAAGCGAAAGCGAUAAGUAAUCCACCUGGGGAGUACGCCGGCAACGGUGAAACUCAAAUGAAUUGACGGGG